GGUGACCUGCGGAGGGACAUUACACAAAUAUGAAGGCGGGCUGGAACCUCUCGGGGUUACAGCCUUGCUGAAUUAUUCACCCUUGUCUUUUGCGUACUUCUUGUUUCCUUGGUGGGUUCGCCCACCACUAGGACAAACAUAAACCUUUUGUAAUUGCAAUCAGCGUCAGUAACAAAUUAAUAAUUACAACUUUCAACAACGGAUCUCUUGGUUCUGGCAUCGAUGAAGAACGCAGCGAAAUGCGAUAAGUAGUGUGAAUUGCAGAAUUCAGUGAAUCAUCGAAUCUUUGAACGCACAUUGCGCCCUUUGGUAUUCCAAAGGGCAUGCCUGUUCGAGCGUCAUUUGUACCCUCAAGCUUUGCUUGGUGUUGGGCGUCUUGUCUCUAGCUUUGCUGGAGACUCGCCUUAAAGUAAUUGGCAGCCGGCCUACUGGUUUCGGAGCGCAGCACAAGUCGCACUCUCUAUCAGCAAAGGUCUAGCAUCCAUUAAGCCUUUUUUCAACUUUUGACCUCGGAUCAGGUAGGGAUACCCGCUGAACUUAAGC
rnacentral:rRNA from 1 species